UACGUAGGGGGGCAAGCGUUGUCCGGAAUUAUUGGGCGUAAAGCGCGCGCAGGCGGUCCUUUAAGUCUGAUGUGAACCCACGCUAAGCCGUGGAGGGUCAUUGGAAACUGGGGACUUGAGUGCAGGAGAGAAGAGUGGAAUUCCACGUGUAGCGGUGAAAUGCGUAGAGAUGUGGAGGAACACCAGUGGCGAAGGCGACUCUUUGGCCUGUAACU
rnacentral:rRNA from 1 species